GGGGCUGUGGGGUAGUUUGGUCUAUCCUUUUUGGUUUGGGACCAAAGGACCCCAGUUCAAAUCUGGGCAGCCCCA
rnacentral:tRNA from 1 species